CACGUCCCGGGGGACAACCCCCCCAGGCCGCACGCUAGGCGGUCAGAACAGGGGGGCCGAUACCGCCCCACCCUCGCCGCGGGGCUCAUCACUUCAUGGGGGAGGGGACCCCACUCCGUGCCAGCACCCAACCCAAUGCACCCAAGCGUGCGUCCCCGGCCCGGGAGGCGUCCCUUCCGCUCUGUGAUCCAGGACGCAGACGUGUGCGCCCCGAGGCGUCCCAGCACCCUGAAGAGGAUUCCCGGGCAAUACGGUGUCCCUCAAAACCAGCUUGGCCGGACGGCCUCGCAAAGGCGACCCAGGCUUUGCAAGUUGCCUCCGAGUCCCACGCCCUGGGCGCACGGGUCCCACCGGUCCCCACCCGAAGUCUUCAUUCCGUCUCCCAUCCUCCGUGCGCAGCCUCGGAACGUACAGGAAAAAAAAUAAAGGAAGGCAACAAGUCCCCAGCUUCCCGUCCCACUUCGCCCGUCCUCUGCGCCUGCUGGGUUUGGGGAUGUCCGGUAGCAUGCAUAGGGAAUCCCUAUGCGUGGGCACAAGGGAGAGGUGUUCCCUUGGGGAAUGGGGACCGAACCCCGCAUUCCUAGUUCCAGAAGGACAUCGGUGCUAAGGAGUUCUUCCUAGCCUUCUUCACAUCCCCCCACGGAAAAAUCCUCUCAGCGGCCCGCGGGUGGGGUGCGCCACGCGGUGAGUAAUCGCUACAACGGCCGCCGCCCGCCAACUUCAGGUAACGCGGGCAGCCCCGAGCAACGCAUAGUUACCUCCGACUGAGCGCCGAGUUCUCUCUCUGGGUUAUUUUUGUUGGCCACUCUUUGGGGUUUAGGGACCCCUCCCGGGCCAGCCCAACCCUGGCGUCUCAUCUCCUUCAUUCAUCUCGUCUCCACCCUAUCCGGAUGCCCACGAAGAGAAGGGUGUGCCUGCAAGGUCUCUGUGGGAAGGUGGCGCUUGAAAUCGAGUUCCCGGGUGGUCUCACUCCACAGGCUUGGUGACAGCCCCCAGCCACAGCUCCCCGAAAGUAAAGGGCUCAACUCUGCCCAUCCAGCGAUUUCCUUGGAGGCACAGCUCCUUCCUUAAAGGUGCCCCAUACAGCCUCAGAUGACAAAGGAGGCAGAGGGAACCCUGAGAGGAGGAGACCCAGCUCGACCCUGACACCGAUCCAGCACCAGCUGCCCCUCUCCAGCCCGCUGGCUGUUUGGGCAAAUGUCUGGCGCGUUGGGUGUGACUUCGGCAAGACCUCUGUAAGCCUUCCAUCAUGGGUGACUAUUUUGAGUCCCCACUUACUGUCUUUGUAACAUAGGCCACCAUCUGCUUUAGGGUCACUUAGCUUUUUGAGUCUUGAAUACCUGAAGGCCCCAGACCCCAUGCUGGGCCCAGUGAGGUCCAGGAAAGUUCAAUAAAAUACAAUUUAAAAAAAUCAUAAAAGAACCCUGUCCCUCCAAGUAGCCAGAAAAGAGCCCCAGCAAGUGAGGUGACACAGUUUCAGAGUAGGCCAAACAUUCCACUUUGCUGUGUGACCCAAACUGGCACACAUCCCUCUCUGGUCUUUGACCUCUGCCCUCUGGAUGACCUUUACCCUUUGGGCCAAGGCAGUAUGAGACCUCAUGCUCCCACGGAAUUAACUGUUUCCUCCCCAGCACAGCUCUCUGCUCAGGAAAGGAAGGCAGACUGGUGAACCUCCUGACAAAUAUUGACCCAGUCAUUGAAGGCGACUAGGAAUGUAAGAGGGGGCGGCUGGAAGGGCUCUUCACCCAGGGUCUCCUGUGGAGGAGCAAGGCAGGUGUAAAUCAGGGUGACUCCUCCAGCCUUGGGUUCCCAGAUGAAAACCACUCAACGAUUUGGGGGACUCUGAGUAACAGAACCUGCCUGAGGGGGGCAGGGCUGCGACCCAUGCCCUGUGACCCGACCAUCCCUCCAGGGUCACCGCCCCUCCAGCCUGUACCUGGGGUGCGCUGGGUAAUGGGGUACUGAAGGUCUGAUUGUCUGGUUUGGGGCCUGUGGAUACCCCAGGCUUCCUCUCCACCCCGGUGCCUCAGUGUAAACACUGGGGAUGCUACACCUCAAUUUUAUUGUGUGUGCUGCAACUUACGUCCUAGAGAUGGAUGUGAGGAGGUCCCAGCCCGGGAGCUCUGGGCCACCACGCCUGGGGUCCUUGUCCUCUACACCCAGGACGGUCAGCUGUUUGGGGGCGCAUCGCACCCCCUCCUUCCGUAGCUUCCCCAAGUCAGCAAGCCGCGGCGCCACCCAGCCUCGUCGGGCUUGACUCGGCCUGGGGGUGGGGGUCAGUAGUGUCGUGCAGAGGGCGGCCAGGGACAAAGGGCGCUUGUCUGCGGCACGCCCUGACCCGGGUAGCUGCUUCCCGGACGCCGGAGUACGCUGAUUCACGCGGACAGCGCCCCCCGCCCCCGGCCUCGCCGCCCCGGGGGGUAGGAAGUAGGGGGGGUGCGG